rnacentral:rRNA from 1 species
UACAGAGGUCUCGAGCGUUAGGCGGAAUCACUGGGCUUAAAGCGUGUGUAGGCGGAUCGUUAAGUACCUCGUGAAAUCCCACGGCUUAACCGUGGAACUGCUUGGUAUACUGGCGGUCUUGAGCCAGCUAGGGGCUACCGGAACAAAUGGUGGAGCGGUGAAAUGCGUAGAUAUCAUUUGGAACGCCAAUGGUGAAAACAGGUAGCUGGGGCUGUGCUGACGCUGAGACACGAAAGCCAGGGGAGCAAACAGG